UAACUCCGUGCCAGCAGCCGCGGUAAUACGGAGGAUCCGAGCGUUAUCCGGGAAUCAUUGGGUUUAAAGGGUCCGUAGGCGGGCCGUUAAGUCAGGGGUGAAAGUCUGCGGCUCAACCGUAGAAUUGCCCUUGAUACUGAUGGCCUUGAGUUAUGGUGAAGCAGCCAGAAUAUGUGGUGUAGCGGUGAAAUGCAUAGAUAUCACAUGGAAUACCGAUUGCGAAGGCAGGCUGCUAACCAUAUACUGACGCUGAUGGACGAAAGCGUGGGUAGCGAACAGGAUUAGAUACCCUGGUAGUCCACGCCGUAAACGAUGGAUACUAGCUGUCCGGCGGCAACGCUGGGCGGCCCAGCGAAAGUGAUAAGUAUCCCACCUGGGGAGUACGUCCGCAAGGAUGAAACUCAAAGGAAUUGACGGGGGCCCGCACAAGCGGUGGAGCAUGUGGUUUAAUUCGAUGAUACGCGAGGAACCUUACCAGGGCUUAAAUGUAGUCUGACAGCCCCAGAGACGGGGUUUUCUUCGGACAGAUUACAAGGUGCUGCAUGGUUGUCGUCAGCUCGUGCCGUGAGGUGUCAGGUUAAGUCCUAUAACGAGCGCAACCCCUGCCGUUAGUUGCCAGCAUGUCAUGAUGGGGACUCUAACGGGACUGCCGGUGCAAACCGCGAGGAAGGUGGGGACGACGUCAAAUCAUCACGGCCCUUACGUCCUGGGCCACACACGUGCUACAAUGGCCGGUACAGAGAGCUGCCACGCCGCAAGGCGGAGCGAAUCUAUAAAACCGGUCACAGUUCGGAUCGGGGUCUGCAACCCGACCCCGUGAAGCUGGAAUCGCUAGUAAUCGGAUAUCAGCCAUGAUCCGGUGAAUACG
rnacentral:rRNA from 1 species